GUGAGGAAUUUUCCGCAAUGGGCGAAAGCCUGACGGAGCAAUGCCGCGUGAAGGAUGAAGGCCUAUGGGUUGUAAACUUCUUUUCUUAGAGAAGAAUAUUGACGGUAUCUGAGGAAUAAGCAUCGGCUAACUCUGUGCCAGCAGCCGCGGUAAGACAGAGGAUGCAAGCGUUAUCCGGAAUGAUUGGGCGUAAAGCGUCUGUAGGUGGCUUCAAAAGUCUCCUGUCAAAGAGCAGGGCUUAACACUGGGCGGGCAGGAGAAAGUCUGAGGCUAGAGUUUGGUAGGGGCAGAGGGAAUUCCCGGUGGAGCGGUGAAAUGCGUAGAGAUCAGGAAGAACACCAAAGGCGAAAGCACUCUGCUGGGCCACAACUGACACUGAGAGACGAAAGCGAGGGGAGCAAAAGGGAUUAGAUACCCGUGUAGUCC
rnacentral:rRNA from 1 species